GACGAACGCUGGCGGCGUGCUUAACACAUGCAAGUCGAACGGAAAGGCCCUGCUUUUGUGGGGUGCUCGAGUGGCGAACGGGUGAGUAACACGUGAGUAACCUGCCCUUGACUUUGGGAUAACUUCAGGAAACUGGGGCUAAUACCGGAUAGGAGCUCCUGCUGCAUGGUGGGGGUUGGAAAGUUUCGGCGGUUGGGGAUGGACUCGCGGCUUAUCAGCUUGUUGGUGGGGUAGUGGCUUACCAAGGCUUUGACGGGUAGCCGGCCUGAGAGGGUGACCGGCCAAAUUGGGACUGAGAUACGACCCAGACCACUACGGGAGGCAGCAGUGGGGAAUAUUGCACAAUGGGCGGAAGCCUGAUGCAGCAACGCCGCGUGCGGGAUGACGGCAUUCGGGUUGUAAACCGCUUUCGCCUGUGACGAAGCGUGAGUGACGGUAAUGGGUAAAGAAGCACCGGCUAACUACGUG
rnacentral:rRNA from 1 species